rnacentral:lncRNA from 1 species
AGUGUGCCGUUGCUGGCUCUGAGAAGUAGGAGCCUUGUGCAAGGAUUCAGGAGAGGCCUCUAGAAACUGAGGAUGGCCCUCAACUGGCAAGCACAGGCAACUGAAUUCGGCCAGGCAUCUGGGUCCUGUGCUAGGGGCUAGGAAGACAAAGAGAAACAGAGUCACAUCCUCCCACAAAAAUCCAUGAGAUGUCGGAGAGCCGAACUUGUAAACAGCCAUCAUCAACACAAAGAAGGAUGCACUGAUGCUCUCUAGAGGCUCACAGGAAAUGAUUCAUGGGCAUAGAGGUGCUGUGACAGCAUCAAUCAGGCCUUGGCAGGCGAGGGAGCCCUCUGAAGAA